CAGAUAAAAUACUGGAUUCCCAUGGACAUUUGGAUUUCAGGUAAACCACAAGUUAUUUUUUUUUCUUUAGUGUAAGUGCAUUCCAGGUAGUGCAUAGGACAUACUUCUCUGAGCUUCUUCCCUCAACAUGUUAAUAUAGUCCAGUUGUGAGAAGAACAUGCAAACAAGAGAAAAAAAGCAAGUAGUGCACAGGACAUACUUUAAAAAAACUGCUUAUUUAAAAUAACUGAUUUUCUCCUUUUCUGUUCCUUGUUGUUGUUAACAGAGAGAAUACUUUGCACAAGGAUUUCUGCUGAUUUCAUGAAGGCAUUCAAACAACCCACACUAGGAACUUAAAUAUGGCAUCUUUAGUUCUUUUUAAAAGUAAUAGUUAUUUUGUUGUGUUGUUGUUAAUUUCUAAGUAGAACAAGUGAGAAACAAGUACUGGAUUGAAAGUAUUGAGAUACAAAAUUACUUUAAGUGUCUGUAAUUGUUAGUUUUCUGUUGCUGUGACAAAAUACCUGAGAAAGUCAACUAAAGGAGAAAAGGUUGAUUUUGGCUCAUGAUUUUAGUUCAUGGUCAGCUGACUCCAUGGCUGUGGACCUGUGGUGAGGCCCAGCAUCAUGGCAGAGGACAUGGUGGGGCAGACCUGCUUACCUCAAGGAGGCUGGGAAGCAGAGUGGAGAGGGAGGAAAGGGCCAGGAACAGGAUGUGACCUGCCAGGGCCUGCCCCCAGUGACCUACUUCCUCCAGCAAGACCUCACAGUUUUCGCCAGCUCCCAGGACUGCCUUCAAAUUAUAAAUCCAUCUGUGAGUGAAUCCACAGAGAGUCAGAGCCCUCGUGAUCCAGUCUCUCUCCAAGAGCCCCACCUCUGAGAACGGCUGCACUGGGGACUCAACCUUCAUCACAGGGGACUUUCAGGGACAGCCCAGAUCGGAACCAUGACAAUAACCUUGUAGGUAAAUCAAGGGGCUGGGGUUGUGGCUCAGUGAUAGAGCGUUUGCCUAGGAUGUGUGAGGCACUGGGUUCGAGUCUCAGCACCACAUAUAAAUGAAUAAAAUAAAGUCCAUGGACAACUAAAAUAUUUUUUAAAAAAUAAAAUCAGAAAUUAAAAUGGCUUGAUUUACUUAUCUGAAAUUUGAAUUUAACUGGACCUUCUGUAUUUUUAUUUACUAAGUACGUCAAACCUGCAUGCAUUUUUUGAGACCAUUGAGAAAAAUGGAGUUUGGGUGUCUGACACCAGACAUUCUGAUUUAAUUUGUGCAGCCUCGUAAAGGGGAUUUUUUUUUUUAAAGCUCUUGAAGUGUUCCCAGCGUGCAGCCAGGGUUGAGAAUCAUUGCUGGACUAGCAGCAUCUAAUUAGACAGGCAUUUUUUUUUAAUUACUAUCUAUCAGGAGCAGGGGCUGAGAGCCCUGCAGGUGAAAAUCAGGUUAGAAAACCAUGCAGUUGUGUCUGACGACGAGGUGGGCAUUCACGACGAAGGUGCCUCAGAGGGCUCUGGGCCUCGGUGAUGCAGAAUG
rnacentral:lncRNA from 1 species